AUGGCCUGGGCCCCUCUGCUCCUCACGCUGCUCACGUACUUCUCAGAGGUCAGUUCACAGGCUGUGGUGGCUCAGGAGCCCUCAGUGUUCAUUGCCCCAGGAGGGGCCAUCACUCUGUCCUGCAGCCUGAGCACUGGAGCCAUCACCACCAGCAACUAUCCCUCCUGGUACCAGCAGAAACCAGGGUCUGCUCCUCGGAUGCUCAUAUAUGAAACUAAUAAGAGACCCUCAGGGAUCCCUGCCUGGUUCUCUGGGUCCAUUUCCAGUAACGACGCUGCCCUCGCCAUCACCGGUGUCCAGGUAGAGGACGACGCUGACUAUUACUGGGCUGUGUACACGGGUAGCAGUGGGUGCACUAUACACAGUGAUACAGCGAGGUUCUGA